ACAUGUGUUUUUUUUUUUUUGAAAACUUUGCUUUGGUGGGCCCACGGCCUGCCAGAGAUUAAACUCAACCAAAUUUUUUUUUAAGUCAACUGAUUAACUAAUAGUCAAAACUUUCAACAACGGAUCUCUUGGUUCUCGCAUCGAUGAAGAACGCAGCGAAAUGCGAUAAGUAAUAUGAAUUGCAGAUAUUCGUGAAUCAUCGAAUCUUUGAACGCACAUUGCGCCCUUUGGUAUUCCAAAGGGCAUGCCUGUUUGAGCGUCAUUUCUCCCUCAAACCUUCGGGUUUGGUGUUGAGCGAUACGCUGGGUUUGCUUGAAAGAAAGGCGGAGUAUAAACUAAUGGAUAGGUUUUUUUCCACUCAUUGGUACAAACUCCAAAAUUCUUCCAAAUCGACCU
rnacentral:rRNA from 1 species